NNNNNNUCAUGGCCUAGGUAGAUGGCUUUCAUUGUACUAAGAAGGUGCAUCUGCCUAAGGUCUCCUCAAGUGGAAGAGCAUAAUUUGUGGUAGUGGGGGCCUGCGUUCGCGGGGCCCCUGU
rnacentral:snRNA from 1 species